rnacentral:ncRNA from 1 species
UUAACAGCUGUGAUCGGGACAACAGUCUAAAACAGGCCACAGAGAGCCGGGUUAGGUGGAAACCGGUGCCAAAGGGUAGACUGUGCUCACCCAGGAGCUGCCCCCGUGAAAGAUUUACGAGUAAUUGGGGCCGGGAUAGAAACCCGUUAUGAAUUGGCACAUUACAGAGGAAACUGUUUUGAUGCAUGAGUGGCUCGUAAGAGCAAACAGGGUGGUACCGCGGAAGGUUUAACCUCUCGUCCCUGGC